ACCCUUACAAAAAUUGCUCAAUCCAGUACAACAAAGAUGGCAAAGGAUUCGAACAUGCGAAUUUUAUAAUAGUUAAUGAAGAACAAAACGCAGACCCCCAGAUUUUUGUAUCUAAACUGACUGUGAAGCAUGUGGAAAAGGACAUGUUUGGACUUUUUUGUUCCAUGGAUUAUUUUUGGGAAGGCCAAGAUCGAUGUUUGAUGCACGUCGUGGAUUACGUUAAACCCGACAACGACACUUCCAAGAGUAAUGCAACAUAUCUCACAUCAACGCCUUCAACUACCCACGCACCUGACGUCUACUUAACUACAAACUACACCCUGCCCUUUACGACCACCCCAUCCCUAGUAUCUCUCUCAA